rnacentral:tRNA from 1 species
UCGGCCGUAGUGUAAUUGGCAGCACGACGUCUUUUGGUGUCGUUAGUUCAGGUUCGAGUCCUGGCGGCCGAG